rnacentral:rRNA from 1 species
GUACACUCCUACGGGAGGCAGCAGUGGGGAAUUUUGGACAAUGGGCGAAAGCCUGAUCCAGCAAUGCCGCGUGUGUGAAGAAGGCCUUCGGGUUGUAAAGCACUUUUGUCCGGAAAGAAAUCCUUGGCUCUAAUACAGUCGGGGGAUGACGGUACCGGAAGAAUAAGCACCGGCUAACUACGUGCCAGCAGCCGCGGUAAUACGUAGGGUGCGAGCGUUAAUCGGAAUUACUGGGCGUAAAGCGUGCGCAGGCGGUUUGCUAAGACCGAUGUGAAAUCCCCGGGCUCAACCUGGGAACUGCAUUGGUGACUGGCAGGCUAGAGUAUGGCAGAGGGGGGUAGAAUUCCACGUGUAGCAGUGAAAUGCGUAGAGAUGUGGAGGAAUACCGAUGGCGAAGGCAGCCCCCAGGGCCAAUACUGACGCUCAUGCACGAAAGCGUGGGGAGCAAACAGGAUUAGAAACCCGAGUAGUCCC